rfam:Erysiphe necator strain c c-strain-scaffold_2917, whole genome shotgun sequence.
GCCCCCUCUUUCGCCUACGGGCAUUUGGUCAAUUUGAAACGAUACAGAGAAGAUUAGCAUGGCCCCUGCACUAAGGAUGACACGCUCAAUCAAAGAGAAGCUAGAAAUUUUU